GUACUGCUGAGGAGUCCCACACUAGGACGAAACAGAUGUCCAGUAC
rnacentral:hammerhead_ribozyme from 1 species